CACUUGCUCAGAUAGCUGCCAUGGCUGCUGCCUCAAAAGCUGGUACCGCUUUGAUGCAGAACCCUCUAUCAUCUGCCCAACUGCUUCCCAAUGCUGUAUUGCCUGUUUCUCUUCCUGGUGUACUCGGUGUCUCGAUGCCAGGUACUGCAGCAGUUGUGCCUGGGAGUGGGCUGCCUGGUCUUGCAAAUGAAGAGGCUGCUCGCAAAGCUGCACUGCAAGCUGCUCUCAAUUUGCAGCAUAACUUAGCAAAGAUUCAAGCUGAUGCAAUGCCUGAACAUUAUGAAGCUGAGUUGGAGAUAAAUGAAUUCCCCCAGAAUGCUCGAUGGAAAGUUACCCACAAGGAAACUUUGGGCCCAAUAUCAGAAUGGACUGGAGCUGCCAUUACUACCAGGGGCCAAUUUUUCCCACCUGGUCGGAUCCCGGGACCAGGAGAACGGAAGCUUUACUUGUUCAUUGAGGGACCUACUGAGCUAUCUGUUAAGAGAGCUAAGGCAGAACUAAAACGUGUCUUGGAAGACUUCUCACACCAGUCCUUACAACUUCCUGGUGGGACUCAACCUGGCAGAUACCAAGUUUUGUAGAUAGAUAGAGCCAUUACUAGCUCUCACCUUCAUUGUGGUCUGAGAAGGGCAGGAUUCGUAAGUCCAUUAUUUUCAGAUUUUACUGAUUGUGGUGUUUCUCAUCGAUGUUGUUAUAGUUAAAAAGAGCACGUUGUUUUAGUUUGGUGCAUUCUGAUGCAUUGGCUCGUUUUACUUGGCCUCAUAUUCACUAAUCCUUUAGUCAAUUUGAUAUGGAUGGUGGCUUGAAAUCUGCUAUGAUGCUUGGUCGAGGAAUUGGUGUAACUAAAAGACAAAUUGAGGAAUCAGAUGCUGUAGUUCCAGAACCAUAUGAUGAAGUUUCUUUCUUAUAAAGGCAUUAAGUGUUUGAUGAUGUUUUUAUGUUAUUUAUUACUUUUUGAUGAGGAAGAUGAUGUAUUGUUUUCAUGUCUUAGGUGUUACUGGUAACAUUAUUCUCCCUAAUGGGAACUUCCUUGCUAUCUCAAGCCUCAACCUGAGAUUGCAUUUUGGUUUAGAAAGACGUGGAUGUCCUGGAUCCUUGCAAAGUUAAUACUUAAGCCAUAUUUCUGUUCUGAACUUGAUUUUUUUUCUUUUCUUAAAGGUAAUUUAUAUGUUUUGAAAAUAGAUCUGAUUCCAAUCUGAAGUUGUGAACAGCAUAUAGCAAAUGCAAGCAGGGUUGCUGGGUUGGCAUUUGAUUUGUGUGCUUCCAUUUUUUGUUUAUAAAAAGUAGAAAAUGGAAGGGUAACUGAAACAGAUAAAGAAGAAGAGCCUCACAAUGUGGAAAAUGGGCAGAGAUUGAAGAUAUGCUGAAGAAGAGUGUUAUAACAGUGGAUGAUUUCACACACCCUCUUCAUCAAAAGUAGAAAAAGAAGUAAAAAUGGUGGUCAAGUAUGCAUGUUUAGUGGACAUGAGCUUCUCCAAGGAAAAGCCAUCCAUGGUGCGUGCAAAUGUAUCAAACAGGGCAGAUGUUGUUUUGGCCUAUGGGCCUGUGUGGGUGGUUGGUACUUGGAAGGUUGCUAUUCCAGCUCAAGCUUUUGACAGAAGUUAGGUGAGUUGGAAGAGGUUUUUUUUGGGGAGGUAUAGAAUCUGUACAUACAACUUUAAAUGUACUUUUAUCGGAUUUCCCAAAUUGGAUUUUAUGUAGAGUAAGUUUUACUGUCUUCGCCAUGCA